rnacentral:lncRNA from 10 species
CGGGGACCUGGGACGAGGGGGUGGGGUGGGGAGGGGAAGGCAGGAGGGGGCUGCCCUUCCGUUGCCCAUGCUAAAGGUUCCUGUGUAGGAAGCUGGACGCAGCCUGCUGGACUAGUAAUCUUCCUCCUCGCUGGGGCGCGGGGCACUGAAGGGAGGGAGAGACUUUCUCCUCCUUCCUGUUCCCCGGGACAGCUGUGCUCUCCGAAUCCUUCCCUUCUUCCCAGCCCACUUAUUCCCCGCUCGCCAAGGCACGUUUGCACAGGCAUUUUUCCUGCUCUUUUUUCUGGGAGGGCAGCUUGGUAGAAUGGUCGGCGGAGCUGGGCGAGGAGAGGGGUCUUCAGAAGGUUUGCUUUCUUGCUCUUGCUUCUCACUGGCCGCUGGGCUGUCCACUUUCCGCGCCGGGCGACUGGCAACAGGAGGCCAUGGAUUUCCCCCAACGACAUCUUCAACUAAAGAUGUCAAAGCACAAGCUCACUUCCCACGGAAGGUAGCAAUUACUAUUAUCUACUUGACAGCUACAAGAACCUAGGCACAGAGGUUAAGUGCUCUGCAAAUACUACCAGCCAGUGGUGGUUUUCCUGCCAGAACCAAGUUCUUGCCUUCCAGUGGACACCAUUGAUCUCUCAAGAUGAUU